CUGUUCGCCAUUUAAAGUGGUACGCGAGCUGGGUUUAGAACGUCGUGAGACAGUUCGGUCCCUAUCUGCCGUGGGCGUCGGAAGUUUGAGAAGAGCUGCUCCUAGUACGAGAGGACCGGAGUGGACGAACCUCUGGUGUUCGGGUUGUCAUGCCAAUGGCAUUGCCCGGUAGCUACGUUCGGACGGGAUAACCGCUGAAAGCAUCUAAGCGGGAAGCCCCCUUCAAGAUGAGACUUCCCUGAGGCCUUGCGCCUCCUGAAGGGCCCUUGAAGACUACAAGGUUGAUAGGCUGGGUGUGGAAGCACAGCAAUGUGUUGAGCUAACCAGUACUAAUUGCCCGUGAGGCUUGACCAUAUAACACCCAAGGGGUUU
rnacentral:rRNA from 1 species